rnacentral:lncRNA from 1 species
ACGGUACAGAGUCAAUGUGGAGGCUAUAUACAGGGGGUACCGGUACAGAGUCAAUGUGGAGGCUAUAUACAGGGGUUACCGGUACAGAGUCAAUGUGGAGGCUAUACAGGGGGUACCGGUACAGAGUCAAUGUGGAGGCUAUAUACAGGGGUUACCGGUACAGAGUCAAUGUGGAGGCUAUAUACAGGGUAUUAUUGUACAGAGUCAAUGUGGAGGCUAUAUACAGGGGGUACCGGUACAGAGUCAAUGUGGAGGCUAUAUACAGGGGGUACCGGUACAGAGUCAAUGUGGAGGCUAUAUACUGGG